rnacentral:sRNA from 1 species
UACUCCCAUACCUCAAAAGCACAUGGAUCAUCUAGGAAUUCUAUGAGUCUGGAUCUAUAUUGAGACAGAUUCAGAUAGUAUUACUUAUCCUGUGCCAUUAACCCCUAUUUACCACUAAAAGAAAAGGGAGCCGAGUCUCCGAAUUAGGCUAUGCUGCUCUUUUUGUGCUACCUCUAGCAUUGCAGAAAGAUGCUAUGCUGACAGGAAAAGGGAACAACUUCUAAAAGGGGUGACUAGUAAAGAAUAUAAGUAUGUAAAAAGACCAAAAAUGUAGAAGUGAAGAAAUUCAGAAAUUCAGAAGUCCAAAGUUCC